rnacentral:lncRNA from 1 species
UUCUGUGUGUUUGAAUCUCUGCAUUUUUACAUCCACAUCGUGUGUGUGUGUGUGUGUGUGUGUGUGUGUGUGUGUGUGUGUGUGUGUGUGUGUGUGUGUGUGUGUGCGCGCGCGUGUGUGUCAUUUCCCCAACCAUUCCCUCUUUUCCUUCCCUUUUCUUUCUCCAUCACAUAUCUUCCUCUCUGCUCUCUCAACACAUUCCCUCACUGCAUUCUCCUUCUCUCCUCUCCUUCUCUCCUGCUUCUAUCUCCUCUCUUCUCUCCUCUCCUCUCUCCCAUCCUCUCUCUCAUCCUCUCCUCUCUCUCAUCCUCUCCACUCUCUCAUCCUCUCCUCUCUCUUAUCCUCUCUCUCAUCUCUCUCAUCCUCUCAUCCUCUCCUCUCUCUCAUCCUCUCCUCUCUCUCAUCCUCUUCACCCUCUCAUUCUCUCCUCUCUCUGAUCUUAUACUCUCUCUCAUCCUCUCCCUCAUCCUUUCUUUCAUCAUAUCCUCUCUCUCAUCCUCUCUUUCAUCCUCUCCACUCUCUCAUCCUCUCCUCUCUCUCAUCUCUCUCACAUCCUCUCUCUCAUCCUCUCCUCUCUCUCAUCCUUUCUCUCAUCCUCUCUCUCAUCCUCUCCUCUCUCUCAUCCUAUCCUCUCUCUCAUCCUCUCUCUCAUCCUCUCCUCUCUCUCAUCCUCUCUCUCAUCCUCUCCACUCUCUCAUCCUCUCUCUCAUCCUCUCCUCUCUCUCAUCCUAUCCUCUCUCUCAUCCUCUGUCUCAUCCUCUCCUCUCUCUCAUCCUCUCUCUCAUCCUCUCCUCUCUCUCAUCCUCUCUCUCGUCCUAUCCUCUCUCUCAUCCUCUCCUCUCUCUCAUCCUCUCUCUCAUCCUCUCCUCUCUCUCAUCCUCUCUCUCGUCCUAUCCUCUCUCUCAUCCUCUCCUCUCUCUCAUCCUCUCCUCUCUCUCAUCCUCUCCUCUCUCUCAUCCUCUCCUCUCUCUCAUCCUCUCUCUCAUCCUCUCCUCUCUCUCAUCCUCUCCUCUCCUGUCUUCCUCUCUCCUGCUCUCAUCUCAAGUUUUCCUCUCCCUCAUAGAUAGGGAGCUUGGACCACUAACUGUGUGCCUCACUCUCUGCCACGGGGGCUUUUCAAUAUUUAAUCAAGAGUGCGUUCACUUGAGAUCUGUUUGUAAGCAUGUAUAUAAGAGAGUGAGGACUUACGUCUAUGCGUGA